rnacentral:rRNA from 1 species
ACGGAAGGCAGCAGUGGGGAAUAUUGCACAAUGGGCGAAAGCCUGAUGCAGCGACGCCGCGUGAGCGAAGAAGUAUUUCGGUAUGUAAAGCUCUAUCAGCAGGGAAGAAAAAUGACGGUACCUGACUAAGAAGCACCGGCUAAAUACGUGCCAGCAGCCGCGGUAAUAUGUAUGGUGCAAGCGUUAUCCGGAUUUACUGGGUGUAAAGGGAGCGCAGGCGGUACGGCAAGUCUGAUGUGAAAGCCCGGGGCUCAACCCCGGUACUGCAUUGGAAACUGUCGAACUAGAGUGUCGGAGGGGUAAGUGGAAUUCCUAGUGUAGCGGUGAAAUGCGUAGAUAUUAGGAGGAACACCAGUGGCGAAGGCGGCUUACUGGACGAUCACUGACGCUGAGGCUCGAAAGCGUGGGGAGCAAACAGGAUUAGAUACCCUGGUA